ACUAGAUAGAGUCCACCCAGGAGAUAAAGGGGUUUGAUGAAGCCCCUGAAUUUUGCUCAGUGUGUGACUGCCUUGACCCUUAGUACUGUCAGCUCUAUCACAGUCCCACAUGCCUCAUGUCUUGGUCUUCCUGUGAGUCUGUCUAGGAGUGUAACUGGAUAUGUUAUUGUAAACCAGUGGUUCUCAACUUGUGGUACGCGAGAGAUGAUUAAUAGUACGUAUAUAAUCUUGACUUCGUAUUUUUAUAUGAGGCAUAUUUUUGUUGGUGGUACUGAAAUUUUUUAAUUUUGAUUUUAGCGGUACGCAUUUAUGAAAGGGUUGAGA
rnacentral:lncRNA from 1 species